GGGUUGUGAGGUUAAGCGACUAAGCGUACACGGUGGAUGCCCUGGCAGUCAGAGGCGAUGAAGGGCGUGCUAAUCUGCGAUAAGCGCCGGUAAGGUGAUAUGAACCGUUAUAACCGGCGAUACCCGAAUGGGGAAACCCAGUGUGACUCGUCACACUAUCAUUAACUGAAUCCAUAGGUUAAUGAGGCGAACCGGGGGAACUGAAACAUCUAAGUACCCCGAGGAAAAGAAAUCAACCGAGAUUCCCCCAGUAGCGGCGAGCGAACGGGGAGGAGCCCAGAGCCUGAAUCAGCAUGUGUGUUAGUGGAAGCGUCUGGAAAGGCGCGCGAUACAGGGUGACAGCCCCGUACACAAAAGCGCAUGUGCUGUGAGCUCGAUGAGUAGGGCGGGACACGUGGUAUCCUGUCUGAAUAUGGGGGGACCAGUCCUCCAAGGCUAAAUACUCCUUGACUGACCGAUAGUGAACCAGUACCGUGAGGGAAAGGCGAAAAGAACCCCGGCGAGGGGAGUGAAAAAGAACCUGAAACCGUGUACGUACAAGCAGUGGGAGCACCCUUUGGGUGUGACUGCGUACCUUUUGUAUAAUGGGUCAGCGACUUAUAUUCUGUAGCAAGGUUAACCGAAUAGGGGAGCCGGAGGGAAACCGAGUCUUUAAUUGGGCGUUAAGUUGCAGGGUAUAGACCCGAAACCCGGUGAUCUAGCCAUGGGCAGGUUGAAGGUUGGGUAACACUAACUGGAGGACCGAACCGACUAAUGUUAGAAAAAUUAGCGGAUGACCUGUGGCUGGGGGUGAAAGGCCAAUCAAAACCGGGAGAUAGCUGGUUCUCCCCGAAAGCUAUUUAGGUAGCGCCUCGUGAAUUCAUCUCCGGGGGUAGAGCACUGUUUCGGCUAGGGGGCCAUCCCGGCUUACCAACCCGAUGCAAACUGCGAAUACCGGAGAAUGUUAUCACGGGAGACACACGGCGGGUGCUAACGUCCGUCGUGAAGAGGGAAACAACCCAGACCGCCAGCUAAGGUCCCAAAGUCAUGGUUAAGUGGGAAACGAUGUGGGAAGGCCCAGACAGCCAGGAUGUUGGCUUAGAAGCAGCCAUCAUUUAAAGAAAGCGUAAUAGCUCACUGGUCGAGUCGGCCUGCGCGGAAGAUGUAACGGGGCUAAACCAUGCACCGAAGCUGCGGCAGCGACACUGUGUGUUGUUGGGUAGGGGAGCGUUCUGUAAGCCUGCGAAGGUGGCCUGUGAGGGUUGCUGGAGGUAUCAGAAGUGCGAAUGCUGACAUAAGUAACGAUAAAGCGGGUGAAAAGCCCGCUCGCCGGAAGACCAAGGGUUCCUGUCCAACGUUAAUCGGGGCAGGGUGAGUCGACCCCUAAGGCGAGGCCGAAAGGCGUAGUCGAUGGGAAACGGGUUAAUAUUCCCGUACUUGGUGUUACUGCGAAGGGGGGACGGAGAAGGCUAUGUUGGCCGGGCGACGGUUGUCCCGGUUUAAGCGUGUAGGCUGUGUGUUCCAGGUAAAUCCGGUUCACUUUAACACUGAGGCGUGACGACGAGGCACUACGGUGCUGAAGCAACAAAUGCCCUGCUUCCAGGAAAAGCCUCUAAGCAUCAGGUAACAUCAAAUCGUACCCCAAACCGACACAGGUGGUCAGGUAGAGAAUACCAAGGCGCUUGAGAGAACUCGGGUGAAGGAACUAGGCAAAAUGGUGCCGUAACUUCGGGAGAAGGCACGCUGACACGUAGGUGAAGUGAUUUACUCAUGGAGCUGAAGUCAGUCGAAGAUACCAGCUGGCUGCAACUGUUUAUUAAAAACACAGCACUGUGCAAACACGAAAGUGGACGUAUACGGUGUGACGCCUGCCCGGUGCCGGAAGGUUAAUUGAUGGGGUCAGCGCAAGCGAAGCUCCUGAUCGAAGCCCCGGUAAACGGCGGCCGUAACUAUAACGGUCCUAAGGUAGCGAAAUUCCUUGUCGGGUAAGUUCCGACCUGCACGAAUGGCGUAAUGAUGGCCAGGCUGUCUCCACCCGAGACUCAGUGAAAUUGAACUCGCUGUGAAGAUGCAGUGUACCCGCGGCAAGACGGAAAGACCCCGUGAACCUUUACUAUAGCUUGACACUGAACAUUGAGCCUUGAUGUGUAGGAUAGGUGGGAGGCUUUGAAGUGUGGACGCCAGUCUGCAUGGAGCCGACCUUGAAAUACCACCCUUUAAUGUUUGAUGUUCUAACGUGGACCCGUUACCCGGGUUGCGGACAGUGUCUGGUGGGUAGUUUGACUGGGGCGGUCUCCUCCUAAAGAGUAACGGAGGAGCACUAAGGUUGGCUAAUCCUGGUCGGACAUCAGGAGGUUAGUGCAAUGGCAUAAGCCAGCUUGACUGCGAGCGUGACGGCGCGAGCAGGUGCGAAAGCAGGUCAUAGUGAUCCGGUGGUUCUGAAUGGAAGGGCCAUCGCUCAACGGAUAAAAGGUACUCCGGGGAUAACAGGCUGAUACCGCCCAAGAGUUCAUAUCGACGGCGGUGUUUGGCACCUCGAUGUCGGCUCAUCACAUCCUGGGGCUGAAGUAGGUCCCAAGGGUAUGGCUGUUCGCCAUUUAAAGUGGUACGCGAGCUGGGUUUAGAACGUCGUGAGACAGUUCGGUCCCUAUCUGCCGUGGGCGCUGGAGAACUGAGGGGGGCUGCUCCUAGUACGAGAGGACCGGAGUGGACGCAUCACUGGUGUUCGGGUUGUCAUGCCAAUGGCACUGCCCGGUAGCUAAAUGCGGAAGAGAUAAGUGCUGAAAGCAUCUAAGCACGAAACUUGCCCCGAGAUGAGUUCUCCCUGAGACUUAAAGUCUCCUGAAGGAACGUUGAAGACGACGACGUUGAUAGGCCGGGUGUGUAAGCGCAGCGAUGCGUUGAGCUAACCGGUACUAAUGAACCGUGAGGCUUAACCUUACAACGCCGAAG
rnacentral:rRNA from 1 species